rnacentral:misc_RNA from 1 species
GAUGAAGAACGCAGCGAAAUGCGAUACGUAAUGUGAAUUGCAAAUUCAGUGAAUCAUCGAGUCUUUGAACGCACAUUGCGCCCCCUGGUAUUCCGGGGGGCAUGCCUGUCCGAGCGUCAUUGCUGCCCUCAAGCACGGCUUGUGUGUUGGGCCCCGUCCUCCGAUCCCGGGGGACGGGCCCGAAAGGCAGCGGCGGCACCGCGUCCGGUCCUCGAGCGUAUGGGGCUUUGUCACCCGCUCUGUAGGCCCGGCCGGCGCUUGCCGAUCAACCCAAAUUUUUAUCCAGGUUGACCUCGGAUCAGGUAGGGAUACCCGCUGAACUUAAGCAUAUCAAAAAGCGGAGGA